CGUAGGGGGCAAGCGUUGUCCGGAAUCAUUGGGCGUAAAGAGCGUGUAGGCGGCCCGGUAAGUCCGCCGUGAAAGUCCAGGGCUCAACCCUGGAAUGCCGGUGGAAACUGCCGGGCUGGAGUCCGGAAGAGGCGAGUGGAAUUCCUGGUGUAGCGGUGAAAUGCGCAGAUAUCAGGAGGAACACCAAUGGCGAAGGCAGCUCGCUGGGACGGUACUGACGCUGAGACGCGAAAGCGUGGGGAGCAAACAGGAUUAGAUACCCUGGUAGUCCACGCCGUAAACGAUGGGCACUAGGUGUGGGGGGUGUCGACUCCCCCCGUGCCGACGCUAACGCAUUAAGUGCCCCGCCUGGGGAGUACGGCCGCAAGGCUA
rnacentral:rRNA from 1 species